rnacentral:rRNA from 1 species
GACGAGGGGUCCUAGCGUUGUUCGGAAUCACUGGGCGUAAAGCGUAUGUAGGCGGCUUUCUAAGUCGGUUGUGAAAUCCCAUGGCUUAACCAUGGAAUUGCAUUCGAAACUGGAGAGCUUGAGUGUGGGAGAGAUUGGUAGAAUACCUGGUGUAGUGGUGAAAUGCGUAGAUAUCUGGAGGAACACCGGUGGCGAAGGCGGCAUCCUGGACCGACACUGACGCUGAGGCGCGAAAGCUAGGGUAGCAAACGGG